GCCAGUGUGGUGUAGUAGUUAGAGUAUUGGACUACAACUUUGGAGACGAGGGUUCAAAUCUCUCCUCAGCCA
rnacentral:tRNA from 1 species